rnacentral:tRNA from 1 species
CGCGGGAUGGAGCAGUCUGGUAGCUCGUCGGGCUCAUAACCCGAAGGUC